rnacentral:tRNA from 1 species
GUGACAGUAGCCAAGUUGGUUUAAGGCGCAAGACUGUAAAUCUUGAGAUCGGGCGUUCGACUCGCCCCCGGGAGAAUAUACA